rnacentral:lncRNA from 1 species
GUGCAGCAGCUUAAUGUGGGAUCUCAGUUUCAAGGCCAGGGAUUGAACAUGGGCUGUACCGGUGAAAACGCCAAGUCCUUAUCACUAGACCACCAGGGAACUCCCUUUAAUUAUGACUCUUGAAUGAAUUUAGCAAAAAUGUUUAAAGGACAUAAGUACAUAGAGGUGAAAUGAAGCAUUACUUUCUCAAAUGUUGGACGCUGGUGAGACUACAAAAUUACAGCCAUUCUAAUAAGCAACAUGGCAAUAUACAAUAGUCUAUUUCCUUUAACUCAAGAAUUCCUCUUCGGGAAUCUAAAGACAAUACUGGAUAUUUGGAUAUGUAUUUACAUAUAAGUAAUUUCAGUGCAAGGUUAUGUACAAAAAACGAGUUAAAUAUCUAGAAAGAAAGGCUCUGUAAAUAUAGCCAUACAAAGAAAUAUGUAAGCCAUUUAAACAUUAAUAUUAUAACAUUAAUAGAAGAAAAUGUUAAUGUUUUUAAAGUAGCAUAUGAUUAUCUUAGUGUGAUCUCCAAAUUCAUAAGAAUAUGGGGAAAAAAGAAAAUCCAUAAUGAUAAGGGAUGAGAAACCAAGAUCCCCAAAGGCAGCGUGAAUUCGCUUUUUGCAAACACAGGUGCAAAUGUUUGUUUCCUUGAAAGUCUCUCUCAUCUUCAUCUCCUUAUGUUGUUGCUUCCAUUACUCCACUGAACUGAAGCACUUAAGAAGGUUCCCAGAUCCAAGUUUACCACCCACAGCCCUGGCACUGUCGCUCUGCGAGGGUCAAGACAGGAGACUUUGGCAAAGGAGCCCUGACGUGGCCCUUGUCCACCUUUAUGCUCUGAGCACCGGGCAGCAGAGCCAGGCAAAGGGCUCGGUGCCUGGCCCCAGCCCCAGCCGCUGCCCUACACACGUGCCACCACCUGUGAGCCCCACCCGGGCACGGGCACAGCUCGGAUGGGUGUGACUCCGUCUAAACAGGCAAGUAUCCAGUUCUCAGGGCCGAGCUCACUCACUGUCAAGCUCGGUGCUCCGCCCUUACUGUUCCCAAACCACACCUCCCCUCCCCAGGCUGCGGGAACUCCUGGACUUCUGCUUCCUCCAAAGCUGAAUGAGUGCCAUCGUCCACCAACCUCACUCUCAAACUGAUCUCACUGUCAACACACCCUGGCUCCCCACGGAACCAAGCUGGCCCACGCUCUGCUGAGGCACACACUGCAGCCACCGGAGGGCGAGAGGACGAGGCUGACUCUCAGGACUGGCCGUUCCUCCACCGACCCCGCACACUGCAGCCUGGGGCCCUGGGCUCAGACCACCACCCCGACCAACCCUGUCACCCACCUCUACAACCUAAAAGACUGCCUGCAACUGGUCUGACAGAAUCAUCACCAAAGGACGCAGUCAGCCCUGCAGUCACUCUGACCGCUGUCCCACCAACUCAUCCCACUCACCUCCAUCCGGAUGGAGCCAGGCUUUUCUCUUUUUUUUGGCCAUCCCCAGGGGGAUCAAAUCUGUGUCCCAGUCCCCCAGAGAUGCCGCCGAUCCUGUUGUGCCACUGCCGGAACUCCAAGCCAGUCUUUAAACUGCUGGACAAGAACUGGCCGCUCUUCUGCGCUCCCUCCAGCACGUCACCAAUUCCUUCUCAGUUAGCCGGCGCCUGGACCAUGGACCCCUCCCGUGAAUGUUAGCGGACCUGCAUCUGCAUAUUCCACCACCACUUCAGGGACAGCCCCUCGAGGUCCCACACAUGUCCCGCCUUUAUCCUGGACCCUCCAAUGCCUGACACAGCACCCACAGUUCCCUACGAGUGCUUGACAUCCUCUAUCCAAGGGCUUUUCGCAGCAGUAGGGUAUGAAGACCAAGAGGUCAUCAGUGUCCUUUCCGUCUGCCUCGGACAUCCUCGGGGUGACCUCUAAGCCUCACUCUUCCAACCUAUAAAAUGGGGACGGCGCCGCAACAGUUAUCAUUCAUUCGGGGCAUUUGCAUAAUCACAGCAAGGACCACAGUCCUCGAUUUACUCCCCAAAGCCCACGCCAAUGUCACAGCAAGUGUGGAUUAGGUACCCAUUUAUUUGACAUCCGAGGAGCACUUACACACUGCAGUGGAGGAGGAACAGGAGCUGUGCUCUCCCAGAGGCCAUGGUCUAAUAGGAGCACAGGUGGGUAAGAAGGUGUCUAACAGUGUGUUACAAUAUAAGCAUAAGCACAUGGAAAAUCCAAUGGGAUCACUAAGGAACAACAGGGCUGGGCCAGUGAGGUCCCUGAGGCAUGUGGAAGUUCCUGGGCCAGGGAUCAAACCCUCACCACAGCAGCAAUCUGAGCCGCCUCAGUAAUACCACCAGGUCCUUAACCCACUGUGCCAUCAGGGAACUCCAAUAAAGACGUCUUAACCAAACACUGCUGGAGAUUGAGGAAAAUAGCAAAAACGGAACACAGAAUUGCUCUCUUCUCCAUUCAAUUACUUCAGCUGGGAAAGGAUUAUACCAGAUGACCUGGCCUCAACGUCUCACAGUUUUCUCAUUUUAAAAAUAGAACAAUACUUUUAGCACUUUACAUACCAUGAAAAAUCAACCAAAAUGCUCCAAAUAACUCAAAGGUCUUUAAAAAAAUAAUAGGAGAUACAUCUGCAUGGUCAUUAACCCUGACAGAUUGAUUACUGAGCAUUUUAAAGAAUUACACUAGACCACAAAUCUUUAAUGUCAAUGUUUUCUUUGUAUCUCCAGCAUUCUUCGGCUACACUUUCACCUGCUCCACACAACGGCCCGCAGCCAUCCCACGUGCUGAGAAUGACAGGUCCCUGAAACAUGCCUUCCCAUUAACUCAGCAGACACUGGCUUCGGGGGCACGAUGGCUGCCAUUUAUUUUCAAAGGGCGCCAGCUCUGCUCCAGCACCUCCUCCUCCUAGGCUGACAACAUCCGUCUGUGUCUGAAAUUGGCUGGGAGGCCUAAAUGCCUCUUUACCUAAACUCCCAGCUGCUGAGUCUCUGUGACUCUUUUUUUAAGUGACAUUAAUUCAGAAUGAGGAAGGGGUGGGGGAGUCCCCUGCUCUGAUCUACCCAGACCACCAAAGCCAACUUCAUCUUAUUAAAAUACAGUCCCAAUCACUUAAUUCCCCUUCUCGAAAACCUUCAAUGGCUCCCAAUUACUUCCUAAAUUACGUAUCAGCUGAUGGUCCAACAUUCAAGAUGCUCCAUGACACACUGCCAUUUUUUCUGGCUUAUCUUCCACCUGCAGCUACAUUAUCCAGCCAAGCAUUCCCUGCAGCUCAGACACAAGCCAUCCAUCAUCUCUGUGACUUGCCUCGGUGUCCCAGCCAACAGGCCCACAGCUCUCUUUUUCUCUUAACAUCAACUCAAUGCCAUCUCUCUCCCAAGUCUUCGCUGGUUAUUCAGCCAUUGAUCAUCCUGCCUGCAUUUGAGCUGCAAAAGCACUUUCUCCCUCAGAUUAAAACUAUCCCUUUUUGCCUGGAAUUCCAAGUAUUCUUCAACUAAGCUUAUACCUCUAGCCCUGAACUAGCCUGCAAACUCCCUGAAGACAGAGCUUGGACAUCUGACUCAACCCAUCACCUCUGCUAAGCACCCUGCACACAAUGGCUUACCCGCAUUUGAUAAAGUGCCCUUCAUACAACUUUUUCGUUACAGAGGCCCUGAGUGUCAGGAAGAACAGAGCUUGUAGGUAAAAGGGCGCUUCGGCCGCUUUUGAGCAGGUGCAUCACAGGAUUGGAGCUUAUGCAGUGGAGCAGGGUGGCCUACGAGAGUGGAAAGCUCUAGACUGGGAGUCAAAACUAGCCUGCCACUCACCAGGUAUGUAACUGUGGACAGAUGACUCACCCCUUGGACCACAGGAACCUACCCCGGAAUGUCUGCUCUGGGAGGAAAUUAGAGGGCACGAAUAAACUGCAUGUCAAGUUCCCGUUCCAGUGUCCUGGUGGUGGUGCCUGCGAUGACCGAGGUUACGUGGGGACUC